rnacentral:rRNA from 1 species
GGCUGCAACUCGCCUGUAUGAAGUUGGAAUUGCUAGUAAUCGCGGAUCAGCAUGCCGCGGUGAAUACGUUCCCGGGCCUUGUACACACCGCCCGUCACACCAUGGGAGCCGGUAAUACCCGAAGUCAGUAGUCCAACCUCGUGAGGACGCUGCCGAAGGUAGGAUUGGCGACUGGGGUGAAGUCGUAACAAGGUACC